rnacentral:rRNA from 1 species
UCGAGAAUCUUCGGCAAUGGGCGCAAGCCUGACCGAGCGACGCCGCGUGGAGGACGAAGGCCUUCGGGUUGUAAACUCCUGUCGAGGGGGAAGAAGGGGUAACACCUUGACUGAUCCCUGGAGGAAGCACGGGCUAAGUUCGUGCCAGCAGCCGCGGUAAGACGAACCGUGCGAACGUUAUUCGGAAUCACUGGGCUUAAAGCGCGUGUAGGCGGAACGGCACGUCGGUCGCUGAAAUCCCCCGGCUCAACCGGGGAACGGGCGCCGAUACGACCGUUCUCGAGGGACGUAGGGGGACCUGGAACUUCCGGUGGAGCGGUGAAAUGCGUUGAGAUCGGAAGGAACGCCCGUGGCGAAAGCGAGGUCCUGGACGUUUUCUGACGCUGAGACGCGAAAGCCAGGGGAGCGAACG